GAGGUCUCAUGCCCACAUCAGCAGCACAUAUUGGAACAAUACAGGGAAGAUUAGUAUGGCCCCUGGCCAAGGACAACAUGCAAAUUCAUGAACCAUUCCAUAUUUUU